CAGAAACUUGCGUUCCACGUCCAUUCACUCUCACUUAAUUGGCGAUCACUUAUCGACAGAGGAAAUGGCCAGGCUAGACGGCACAGUUACUCUCAUCACAGCCGCUUCAUCAGGCAUUGGGCAGGCGACUGCGGUGCACUUUGCAUCCCUAGGCAGCUGGCUUUUGCUGAACGGCCGCAGGAGAGAUGCCCUGGACAAAGUUGGCCACCUGUGCCACGACAAGGGUGUCCCAAAGGAGAAGGUGCCGGUGGUGGUGGU
rnacentral:lncRNA from 1 species